UACGUAGGGUGCAAGCGUUGUCCGGAAUUAUUGGGCGUAAAGAGCUCGUAGGCGGUCUGUCGCGUCGGCUGUGAAAACUCGGGGCUCAACUCCGAGCUUGCAGUCGAUACGGGCAAACUAGAGUAUUGCAGGGGGAGACUGGAAUUCCUGGUGUAGCGGUGGAAUGCGCAGAUAUCAGGAGGAACACCGGUGGCGAAGGCGGGUCUCUGGGCAGUAACUGACGCUGAGGAGCGAAAGCGUGGGGAGCGAACAGG
rnacentral:rRNA from 1 species